rnacentral:sRNA from 1 species
AAAUGUAAAAUUUAUUCAUCAAAAAAGAUCAUAGUUACAAUUAGUCUGUUCAUUUCGUCGCCGCGGGUACCUGCGGCCACUAAACAAACAGACUAUAUAUGCAUCUAUGAUCAUCUUAAUGUCUUUGAUGAGUUUGGCUUGGUAUUUCGGUAAUUC